UACGAAGGGGGCUAGCGUUGUUCGGAAUCACUGGGCGUAAAGCGUACGUAGGCGGAUUGUUAAGUCAGGGGUGAAAGCCCGAGGCUCAACCUCGGAAUUGCCUUUGAUACUGCCUCGCUAGAGUCCGGAAGAGGAGAGUGGAAUUCCUGGUGUAGCGGUGAAAUGCGCAGAUAUCAGGAAGAACACCCGUGGCUAAGGCGGCUCUCUAGUACGGUACUGACGCUGAGACGCGAAAGCGUGGGGAGCGAACAGG
rnacentral:rRNA from 1 species